UACGUAGGGGGCAAGCGUUGUCCGGAUUUAUUGGGCGUAAAGAGCGUGUAGGCGGCCAGGGAGGUCCGUUGUGAAAACUCGAGGCUCAACCUCGAGACGCCGAUGGAAACCCCCUGGCUAGAGUCCGGAAGAGGAGUGUGGAAUUCCUGGUGUAGCGGUGAAAUGCGCAGAUAUCAGGAGGAACACCAAUGGCGAAGGCAGCACUCUGGGACGUGACUGACGCUGAGACGCGAAAGCGUGGGGAGCAAACAGG
rnacentral:rRNA from 1 species